AUUUAAGCAAGGACAAACAGGAAGUGGUCCCUUUUCCCCUACGCUCUUCCUCCAUUGGCACAAUGUGACCCACCGGCAAGGAGGGACACCAAUGGAAGGUGUCUGAUAAGUUCACUCUUUCCGACUUGGCCCAGAAGCAUCAGCUCUAUCACUGCUUGGGAGAUUUACAGCGCUUCCUCCAUCCUCGGGCCUGCUAAUAGGCAGUGGCUGAACUCCCCGGAGUCCCAGCUAGGAAAUCUGAGCAGUAUGUAAUUGCUACAGCUGGAAUCGCAUUCCACUUCAGAAGCUUCUCAACAGCAUUCUCAGACGUGUGGAUACCCAUUAGUGACCCAGGGGGAUUACUCCCUGGCACGGCAUGCACCUUUAUGAGGGGCCUGGAUGAUGAGAGUGUCCCUCCCAACAGCAGAAAGGGAGUCAAGGCCCAGGGAUUGGAGGUUGAUUUGGGAGAUAAGUGAAGUGGCCCAGAGAUGCCUUGGAUGGAAUUACAAUCUGAUAAGAGUUCACGGAAUCAUGGGUAGUCUCCCAGAAGCUGCACUCUUGAAGAAAACUGGCUGUCCCUGUCGAAGUGGGAUUUCACAACUGUCUUCCUUCUCACUAGGGGAGUAUUGUCUGGUGAAUACAGUCUUGUGCCUACCGCCACAACUGCUAUGAGUUCACAUUGACAGGAUACUUCUCUUAUGCCCCCAAAUACUGUUUCACUCUAGUCAUCCAUGGCCUCUGACUCUUAGAAUUUUCCCACGUGUAACAAGUAACUUGUAGAUGAAAUACUUUCAAAUAAAAAUCACCCAUCAUAGUUGUCCUUUUAACUGUGAUAUUCACACACAAAAGAAGUUUUUGUAGGUGGAACAAUUUUUAUUUUUCCCUUUAUAUUUUUUUAAAUAUUUUGACCAAUGUGCAUAUUCGUGUUGCUUUUAUAAA